UGUGUACCUCCGAGAGAGAGGAGUCACUUUCAUCAGACCUAUAGUGAAAGAGUUAGAAUUAUGAGAGAAAGAAUACAGAUGUCAACAGAAUGAGUAAAACAUGUUCAAAUAGGAAAACCAUGACUUUGAAUGGUAAACUGUAGAAGAGUAACAUCCUUCUGAAUGAGAUGGGUACAUAUGAAUACUGAAGAGUCAUAACCAGUCUGGCCAGAGCCCAGAGGAUCUCACUCAGAUGGUCACCAACUCAGGCCCUCUUCAGGACCAAGUUUGGUCUGAAGCAUUAUGGUUACCUGGGCAGCAGGACACACAAACAACUCACUGUUGUACUCUCAACUCUGAGAACACAACUCUAGCCCAAGCCCCUGAGACCGCCGUCCUUAGAAAGGCCUGCUUGGAAAACUGGACUUUGGCUGACAUCUAAAAACAGCUCUCAGAGCGUUCCCAGUCAACUGUUAGCCAAUAAAAGUGGCU
rnacentral:lncRNA from 1 species